AUGCUGCCAAAUCUGCUUUUGAAGGGCUUCCCCUGGACUUUGUGGCCAGGAGGUGGCUGUGGCAGCCUCCUUGCUCACUUGGUGUCUGGCUUGCUGCGGCAGCUGCGUGACCCUGCCAUGGCACUGGUGUGGAGCUGGGACAUGGACACCCUCCCCUGCUGCUCUUACCACCAGUGCAGCAGAGCACUUUGCCUGCAGGAUGCCUUUGUGCUGUCCGUGCCAUUCCUCUACAGAGGUGAAGCAGAGCAAGCCAGAGCAGGUCCAGGAACCUUCAGACCUCCCCUCGCAGGCAGCCCUGGUGCAACAUUUCCCCAAACUGCCCAGAUGUCCCUACGUGAAGCAAACCACAGCCUGGGAAUUUGGAUCUUAAAUACUGUUGUAGCUGUGAAACCCUGGCUGUGGGGUGUCCUGCAGGGGAACGUGUGUGCCAGGGUGUGGAUGGAGCAGCGCAGCACGUUGGACCUGUGGUCUUGGAGCAGCGCAGUGGGUUGGGGUUCCCCUCCCCAUGGCCACCACCCCCACCAGGCUCUUGCUGCCUGUGGCACCUUCACAGCCCUGCUACGUGCUGGGGAAGAGAGGAGCAAAGUGCUGAGAGACGGUAAUUGA
rnacentral:lncRNA from 1 species